CCAAGGAGUCUAACAUGUGCGCGAGUCGUAGGGUCAAUACUAAACCCGAAGGCGAAAUAAAAGUAAAGGUUAAUCUUCCCGAAUUGGUUUUCCGCAAGGUGCCUUUUCGUGGGUCAAAAGAGAUAACUUAGGCGAGAUCCUUUGAAAAUAUAAGGCGCACCGCCGGCCCGUCUCAGCCGCUUUCUGCCUUAAUUAAAAAAUGGGUGGAAAUUUAACGUCGGCGAGGCGGAGCAAGAGCGCACACGUUGGGACCCGAAAGAUGGUGAACUAUGCCCGGGCAGGACGAAGCCAGAGGAAACUCUGGUGGAGGUCCGCAGCGAUUCUGACGUGCAAAUCGAUCGUCGGACCUGGGUAUAGGGGCGAAAGACUAAUCGAACCGUCUA
rnacentral:rRNA from 1 species